rnacentral:rRNA from 1 species
UACGAAGGGGGCUAGCGUUGCUCGGAAUCACUGGGCGUAAAGGGCGCGUAGGCGGAUCUUUAAGUCAGGGGUGAAAGCCCAAGGCUCAACCUUGGAAUUGCCUUUGAUACUGAGGAUCUUGAGACCGGAAGAGGUAAGUGGAACUGCGAGUGUAGAGGUGAAAUUCGUAGAUAUUCGCAAGAACACCAGUGGCGAAGGCGGCUUACUGGUCCGGUUCUGACGCUGAGGCGCGAAAGCGUGGGGAGCAAACAGG